CCAGAUCGCCAAGGAUGUGAAGCAGUUCUAUGACCAGGCCCUACAGCAGGCCGUGGUGGAUGAUGACGCCAACAACGCCAAGGCUGUGGUGAAGACCUUCCACGAGACGCUUGACUGCUGUGGCUCCAGCACACUGACUGCUUUGACCACCUCAGUGCUCAAGAACAAUUUGUGUCCCUCGGGCAGCAACAUCAUCAGCAACCUCUUCAAGGAGGACUGCCACCAGAAGAUCGAUGACCUCUUCUCCGGGAAGCUGUACCUCAUCGGCAUUGCUGCCAUCGUGGUCGCUGUGAUCAUGAUCUUCGAGAUGAUCCUGAGCAUGGUGCUGUGCUGUGGCAUCCGGAACAGCUCCGUGUACUGAGGCCCCGCAGCUCUGGCCACAGGGACCUCUGCAGUGCCCCCUAAGUGACCCGGACACUUCCGAGGGGGCCAUCACCGCCUGUGUAUAUAACGUUUCCGGUAUUACUCUGCUACACGUAGCCUUUUUACUUUUGGGGUUUUGUUUUUGUUCUGAACUUUCCUGUUACCUUUUCAGGGCUGACGUCACAUGUAGGUGGCGUGUAUGAGUGGAGACGGGCCUGGGUCUUGGGGACUGGAGGGCAGGGGUCCUUCUGCCCUGGGGUCCCAGGGUGCUCUGCCUGCUCAGCCAGGCCUCUCCUGGGAGCCACUCGCCCAGAGACUCAGCUUGGCCAACUUGGGGGGCUGUGUCCACCCAGCCCGCCCGUCCUGUGGGCUGCACAGCUCACCUUGUUCCCUCCUGCCCCGGUUCGAGAGCCGAGUCUGUGGGCACUCUCUGCCUUCAUGCACCUGUCCUUUCUAACACGUCGCCUUCAACUGUAAUCACAACAUCCUGACUCCGUCAUUUAAUAAAGAAGGAACAUCAGGCAUGCU
rnacentral:lncRNA from 1 species